GGCACAGUGGCGGAGUGGUUAACGCGGCAGACUCGAAAUCUGCUUCCUUCGGGAGCGUCUGUUCGAAUCAGGCCUGUGUCG
rnacentral:tRNA from 3 species